CGAAAGCCUGACGGAGCAAUACCGCGUGAGGGAAGAAGGCUUUUGGGUUGUAAACCUCUUUUGUCAGGGAAGAAGAAUUGACGGUACCUGAAGAAAAAGCAUCGGCUAACUCCGUGCCAGCAGCCGCGGUAAUACGGAGGAUGCAAGCGUUAUCCGGAAUCAUUGGGCGUAAAGGGUCCGCAGGUGGCGAAUAAAGUCUGCUGUUAAAGACCGGGGCUUAACUCCGGAAAGGCAGUGGAAACUGAUUAGCUAGAGUACGGUAGGGGUAGAGGGAAUUCCCAGUGUAGCGGUGAAAUGCGUAGAUAUUGGGAAGAACACCGGUGGCGAAAGCGCUCUACUAGGCCGAAACUGACACUGAGGGACGAAAGCUAGGGUAGCGAAAGGGAUUAGAUACCCCUGUAGUCUUAGCGGUAAACGAUGGAUACUAGGUGUAGCUUGUAUCGACCCGAGCUGUGCCGAAGCUAACGCGAUAAGUAUCCCGCCUGGGGAGUACGCACGCAAGUGUGAAACUCAAAGGAAUUGACGGGGGCCCGCACAAGCGGUGGAGUAUGUGGUUUAAUUCGAUGCAACGCGAAGAACCUUACCAGGGCUUGACAUGUCGCGAAUCUAGCGGAAACGUUAGAGUGCCUUAGGGAAUGCGAACACAGGUGGUGCAUGGCUGUCGUCAGCUCGUGUCGUGAGAUGUUGGGUUAAGUCCCGCAACGAGCGCAACCCUCGUCCUUAGUUGCCAAUAUUAAGUUAGGCACUCUAGGGAGACUGCCGGGGACAACUCGGAGGAAGGUGGGGAUGACGUCAAGUCAGCAUGCCCCUUACGUCCUGGGCUACACACGUACUACAAUGGUUGGGACAAAGGGCAGCAAGCUCGCGAGAGUAAGCGAAUCUCAUCAAACCCAGCCACAGUUCAGAUUGCAGGCUGCAACUCGCCUGCACGAAGUAGGAAUCGCUAGUAAUCGCAGGUCAGCAUACUGCGGUGAAUUCGUUCCCGGGCCUUGUACACACCGCCCGUCACACCAUGGAAGCUGGCUACGCCCGAAGUCGUUACCCUAACCCGGUUUUGGGAGGGGGAUGCCGAAGGUAGAGCUAGUGACUGGGGUGAAGUCGUAACAAGGUAGCCGUACCGGAAGGUGUGGCUGGAUCACCUCCUUU
rnacentral:rRNA from 1 species